UAGUAGUCGGAUGGAUCGAGAGAUGAACGGCGAGGCGCAGGGCAGAGAUUAAUAGAAGGAGUAGCAGUAUUGUAGGAGGAUAAUAAACCACAUGGGAUAUAGAAGAAUAUCCCAAUCCUCGAAAUGGCGGUAGAGGAGAUAGUGCGUAUCAUUUGAUAAGGGCGUCGUGAACGACAGGAAAUACUUCCUGGAUCGGCUUUCUGUAACUCCUAUGUGUACAGGGCGAUGAGGUGAGUUGAGAGACUUAGUGUACACCUACA
rnacentral:ncRNA from 1 species